CAGCCGCCGCGGUAAUACCGGCGGCCCGAGUGGCGGUCACUAUUAUUGGGCUUAAAGCGUCCGUAGCCGGGUUGGGAAAUCCUCCGGGAAAUCUGGCCGCUUAACGGUCAGAAUGCCGGAGGAUACUCCCAGCCUAGGGAGCGGGAGAGGCCGAGGGGAUUCCCGGAGUAGGGGUGAAAUCCUAUAAUCCCGGGAGGACCACCUGUGGCGAAGGCGCUCGGAUGGAACGCGUCCGACGGUGAGGGACGAAGGCCAGGGGAGCAAACCGGAUUAGAUACCCGGGUAGUCCUGGCUGUAAACGAUGCGGACUUUGUGUCGGACAAGCUAUGAGCUUGUCCGGUGCCGGAGGGAAACCGUUAAGUCCGCCGCCUGGGGAGUACGGCCGCAAGGCUGAAACUUAAAGGAAUUGGCGGG
rnacentral:rRNA from 1 species